GCAGUCAUUGCGCAGGCACUUUGGUGAAUUUAGAUAACCUUGGGCCGAUUGCACAUUCCCAUGACGGCGACGACGUAUUCGGAUGUCUACCUAUCAACUUUCCAUGGUACUUUCUACGCCUACCAUGGUGACCACAGGUAACAGGGAAUCAGGGUUCGAUUCCGGAGAGGGAGCCUGAGAAACGGCUACCACAUCCAAGGAAGGCAGCAGGUGUGCAAAUUACCAACUCCCAAUGCAGGGAGGUAGUGAC